rnacentral:rRNA from 1 species
UGCAAGUCGAACGGAAAGGCCCUGCUUGCAGGGUACUCGAGUGGCGAACGGGUGAGUAACACGUGGGUGAUCUGCCCUGCACUUCGGGAUAAGCCUGGGAAACUGGGUCUAAUACCGGAUAGGACCAUCGUUUAGUGUCGGUGGUGGAAAGUUUUUUCGGUGUGGGAUGAGCUCGCGGCCUAUCAGCUUGUUGGUGGGGUAAUGGCCUACCAAGGCGUCGACGGGUAGCCGGCCUGAGAGGGUGGACGGCCACAUUGGGACUGAGACACGGCCCAGACUCCUACGGGAGGCAGCAGUGGGGAAUAUUGCACAAUGGGCGCAAGCCUGAUGCAGCGACGCCGCGUGGGGGAUGACGGCCUUCGGGUUGUAAACUCCUUUCAACCAUGACGAAGCUUUUGUGACGGUAGUGGUAGAAGAAGCACCGGCUAACUAC